rnacentral:sRNA from 1 species
UACUGUCAUAGGUUGUUGUAAUGCCGC